UACGUAGGGUGCGAGCGUUGUCCGGAAUUAUUGGGCGUAAAGAGCUCGUAGGCGGUUUGUCACGUCGGCCGUGAAAACUUGCAGCUUAACUGUGGGCGUGCGGUCGAUACGGGCAUCACUGGAGUUCGGCAGGGGAGACUGGAAUUCCUGGUGUAGCGGUGAAAUGCGCAGAUAUCAGGAGGAACACCGGUGGCGAAGGCGGGUCUCUGGGCCGAUACUGACGCUGAGGAGCGAAAGCGUGGGGAGCAAACAGG
rnacentral:rRNA from 1 species